GAUUUCUGGUUUGAUGUUGUUGGCCCGCUGGCACUCGCUGGCUGGUGCCGACUUGCGUCUACCAUCUUUCUAGAGAACUAGCAUGCCCUUCAAUGGAGCGUACUAGGGAUCUAGAUCUUUUACUUUGAAAAAAUUAGAGUGUUUCAAGCAGGCUACAAUUGCUAUGAAUACAUUAGCAUGGAAUAAUAAGUUAGGACUUCGGUUCUAUUUUGUUGGUUUCUAGAGCUGAAGUAAUGAUUGAUAGGGAUAGUUGGGGGUGCUAGUAUUCAGCGGCCAGAGGUGAAAUUCUUGGAUUCGCUGAAGACUAACUUAUGCGAAAGCAUU
rnacentral:rRNA from 1 species